rnacentral:rRNA from 1 species
CACGUAGGGUGCGAGCGUUGUCCGGAAUUAUUGGGCGUAAAGAGCUCGUAGGCGGUGUGUCGCGUCGGCCGUGAAAACCUGCAGCUUAACUGUGGGCGUGCGGUCGAUACGGGCAUCACUGGAGUUCGGCAGGGGAGACUGGAAUUCCUGGUGUAGCGGUGAAAUGCGUAGAGAUCAGGAGGAACACCCGUGGCGAAGGCGGCUCUCUGGUCGGUAACUGACGCUGAGACGCGAAAGCGUGGGGAGCGAACGGG